UGUUUAGCUACUCUAUUUCUUUAAAACUCUCAAAAACUCAGUUUAUCUACACAACUCUAUGACCUCUUGCAAAACUGCAGUCUAAAAAUAAAGGGAAAUCAACUAUUCAAAUUUCAAGUUGUACUGUGGCAGUGUUUAAUUUUCUAAAAUGAAAUAGGUCAACUUAAAAAUUAAGCCCAGAACGUCACAGAGCAUCUCAAAUUGUCUCCUUCCUUCUCUAACUGAUCUCCAAACCCUACAGUCCAAAUUCAAAGCUUGUUUUCAAUAAAGGAGAAAAUCAACACCAUGGCUGCUUUGAACUCCAAGAGAUUUUUUUGCUCCAGUUCAGAAAACUAAGGAUAUUACAAUCUAAGUCUGAUGCACCUGGCUGAAAUUCAAUAUUCUGUCUAGUUUCCUUUUCCCUCCAAAGACAAAGGACCUGUCUGGCAAAGGAGGAAAUACUACACUCACUUAGAUUUCAAAAGAAGUGAAGCAUUAAUCCAUUACAGGGGCAUGCUUGUAUUAAGGCCAGGGCACUAAACAAGUGCCAACUCUAGUGUAGCAGUAAUCUGUGCCACAAUUGAACUGCAUUGCAUCACAACUGUAUUUAAAAUUUGGUGAAAAUGCUUUAGGAUCAUGGACAUUUUUGCUCUCUGAAAGAACAAAGGAUAAACAGCAACAUUACAAAAGCCAGGCAAAUUAGUAAAUGGCUUGGACCACAAACCAAGUAAGCAAGCUAUAGACGUAGGGGCAAAGAAUCAUAAACAUUCUUAGGGCCCUCUUCACUUCUGUCAUAUAUGAUAGCUACAUACACCAAAACAUAAGCUCCUGAAUGUACGUUUAUGUUUGAAUUGAAUUAUAUUCUCUCUAGAACCCUGGAUAUUGUAGGUGCUCAGUAUAAACUUAUCAAAUAGAUUAAGAUGUUCUCGCUUUCUCUCUCUACCCUGAAUGUCUUUUUAAAAAUGCUAUGAAGACACACCUUGCCCCCACAUUAAGAAGGAAAAAGGAAGUUAGCUACAAGAAAAUCUGAGGCAACGUGAAGAGAAAGCAGAAGUCAGAGGAGCCCCAAGUCUCACCAGGUCAACUACUCUAAGACACCUGGAAAGAAGAUACUGAAAGCAGCCAAGAAUUAGCUUUGAGGUUGCUGAAAAUAAUCUUACAGUCAAGAAGAGACAAACCUGGUACAAAAACAGGGCAGUAGAAAUUAGAAGCCUGAAAGUCUGAAAAAAGAAUAUGGGCAUAUUCUGAAGACUGAGGAGCAAAGCAAAAACUGGUGUUCCUUUCCCUCUGUAAACUAGCACUUUUUAUAAUCUUGAGAUUGUCAUUCUCAGAUUACUGGAUCCAAAUGCCUUUUAAUUUUACUGAUUUACCCUACAGAUAUGUUUGCACAAAAUGUCUGUACAAGGUUAUUUAUCACAGCAUUAUUAAUAGUUGCAAAACUUUAAAAAUAUCUCUCAAUAAGGGAGUAGUUAUAGAAAUUAUGGUACUUCUAUACAAUGAACUAUUGGGUAGCUUUUAAAAAAAGAGUGGAGUAGCUCUCUAGUGGUGACAUGGAAAAAUAUCAAAGUUAUAUUAGGUGAAGAAAAAUGCUGCAGAAUGUGUAUAUGAACUUUUUGCAUAAAAAAAGAAAAAUAAUAUUACAUUUUAAUUUUUGCCAAUAAUUACAUAACACAUUUCUGGAAAGAUACAUUACAAACUAAGAACAGUGGGUACCUAUUGGAGAGGACAGUAUGGGAACUGGACAGCUGGCGAUGAGGAUGAGAAAGAGACUGUUCACUGCAUACCUUUUUUAUAAUGUUAGUUUUAAACAAAGUGAAUAAUUUCUCUAUUAAGAAGGUAAACUUAAAAAAUAGUCAAUCUAAGAAAACUGAUAGCAACAACAGCAAGGGGGUUCAAAUCCCAGAGCAGAAUAGAGCCCCCAUUUCUAAAAUUGAUACUUCAAGCAGACAAUCUAUCAUGUGAGCUUAAGAUAUGUAAGUUUUAGGCUCAUAGUAACCAGAUUGAAACCAGUCUCUCACAACUAAAAAAAAUUAUCUUUGAUUGCUCAAGAAUGUUUUUUAAAUAGAAGCAUAUUAAGCUGCAAAUAUAUAGUGAUGUAGUUAUCUUGAUAUACACAUUUAUUGAAAAAAAAAUGGACUGAAUUAGGCUCAAAAGAAUCUGU